UACAGAGGUCUCAAGCGUUGUUCGGAUUCAUUGGGCGUAAAGGGUGCGUAGGCGGCGCAACAAGUCACUUGUGAAAUCUCCGGGCUUAACCCGGAGCGGCCAAGUGAUACUGUCGUGCUAGAGUGCGGAAGGGGCUACUGGAAUUCUCGGUGUAGCGGUGAAAUGCGUAGAUAUCGAGAGGAACACCUGCGGCGAAGGCGGGUAGCUGGGCCGACACUGACGCUGGGGCGCGAAAGCCAGGGGAGCGAACGGG
rnacentral:rRNA from 1 species